CUACGGGAUGCACCAGUGAGGAAUAUUGCACAAUGGGGGGAACCCUGAUGCAGCAACGCCGCGUGGAGGAUGACGCAUUUCGGUGUGUAGACUCCUUUUAUAUGUCAAGAAAAUGACGGUAGCAUAUGAAUAAGCACCGGCUAACUCCGUGCCAGCAGCCGCGGUAAUACGGAGGGUGCAAGCGUUACUCGGAAUCACUGGGCGUAAAGGACGCGUAGGCGGGUUGGAAAGUCAGGUGUGAAAUCCUACAGCUUAACUGUAGAACUGCACUUGAAACUUCUAAUCUAGAGUAUGGGAGGGGGAGAUGGAAUUAGUGGUGUAGGGGUAAAAUCCGUAGAUAUCACUAGGAAUACCUAAAGCGAAGGCGAUCUCCUGGAACAUUACUGACGCUAAGGCGUGAAAGCGUGGGGAGCAAACAGGAUUAGAUACCCGUGUAGUC
rnacentral:rRNA from 1 species